UACAGAGGUCUCAAGCGUUGUUCGGAAUCACUGGGCGUAAAGGGCGCGUAGGCGGCCAUUCAAGUCGGAGGUGAAAGCCCAGGGCUCAACCCUGGAAUUGCCUUCGAUACUGUCUGGCUAGAGACCGGAAGAGGUAAGUGGAACUGCGAGUGUAGAGGUGAAAUUCGUAGAUAUUCGCAAGAACACCAGUGGCGAAGGCGGUCUGCUGGGCCGUUGCUGACGCUGAGGCGCGACAGCGUGGGGAGCAAACAGG
rnacentral:rRNA from 1 species